rnacentral:rRNA from 1 species
UACGUAGGGGGCAAGCGUUGUCCGGAAUCAUUGGGCGUAAAGCGCGCGUAGGCGGCCCGGUAAGUCCGCUGUGAAAGUCAAAGGCUCAACCUUUGAAUGUCAGCGGAUACUGCCGGGCUAGAGUCCGGAAGAGGCGAGUGGAACUCCUGGUGUAGCGGUGGAAUGCGCAGAUAUCAGGAAGAACACCAACGGCGAAGGCAGCACUCUGGGACGUGACUGACGCUGAGACGCGAAAGCGUGGGGAGCAAACAGG